rnacentral:rRNA from 1 species
GACGAACGCUGGCGGCGUGCUUAACACAUGCAAGUCGAACGGGUCUGCCCUGUUUUUUGCGGGGUGGGUCAGUGGCGAACGGGUUAGUAACACGUGAGUAACCUGCCCCUCACUUCUGGAUAACCGCUUGAAAGGGUGGCUAAUACGGGGUGUUCUGGCUGUGCCGCAUGGUGUGGCUGGGAAAGAUUCACUUUUGUGGUGUUUUGGUGGGGGAUGGGCUCGCGGCCUAUCCGCUUGUUGGUGGGGUGAUGGCCUGCCAAGGCUUUGACGGGUAGCCGGCAUGGGAGGGUGGGCGGUCAUACUGGGACUGAGAUACGGCCCAGACUACGGCGGGAGGCAGCAGGGGGGGGUAUGGCACAAUGGGCGGAAGGCUGAUGCAGCGACGUCGCGGGAGGGAUGGAGGCCUUCGGGUUGUGAACCUCUUUCGCCGGUGAAGAAGGGCCUGCUCUUUGUGGUGGGGUUGACGGUAGCCGGGUUAUGAAGCGCCGGCUAACUACGUG